GCAUUGUCAGCAGUAGUAAAGCUGUGAGUGUUGAAGAGGCACAGCUGGCCUAGAGCAGAAAUUUGGUCACCCUUUUUUAUAUAUUUCAGUUCUUGACAGAAUGCUUCUUGGGAAUAUUACACUUAUCAUCUCAGUUUCCCUUAUGGCAAGCCCAGAAGGCACUAACAUUGUUCUCCUGUUCUUCAGUCCUCUGCUGAAUAAAGAAUCAAAGCAAGUGUGCCUGUUAUUUAGAAUGAAGAGCCAUGUCCUUUAAAUUUCCUUGUGGGCAUUUAUACACUUUGUAAGGAUGCACAUUAUACAGCUAGCUGAUCACCAAGAGACAGUGAGGAGAAGAGUGCUUCAGGAUUCUUAUUUUCUCACAGGAGGAAUUAGGGUACUUAAAAUAAUAUUUCUAACCAAAGAACCAGCAUCCUACUCAGAAUCAGUUUCAUACCUAUUUCCAUCACUGUUUGGAGUUCCUGCUCUCUGA
rnacentral:lncRNA from 1 species